rnacentral:lncRNA from 1 species
AUAUGUCAUGGGCUCUGAGAUUCUCUCUGUCUCAUGUGUCCCCUGGAGUCUUGGCCGAUUGGCCCCUGUCAGUUCCACUGUGAUGUCAGAGUACUUGUGAACCACAUAAUUCCACCUCUGAGGCUGGGGCACUUUGCUCACAUCACCACUUCUGGACUCAGCAGGGUUAGGUUCAGCUAGCAAAGUAGCUGCCUAUGAGAAACUGGCUAGCUGGAAAGGGGAGAUGGGCAGGAGCUGUCAGGAGACUGAAAACAACUCAAAGGAGUGUUUGUGUAAAGAGAUAUUCAUGUACAACUGAGAACAGAGAAUCAAGGAAACUUGUGGUCAGAUACGUGCUGUUGCCAUUCUGGGGCAUCCUGCCUUCACAAGCAUUAGAAACAGGUAUAUUUGAAGGCAGCAGACACACACCCAGGAUGGUGACAACACCAUGCCCUCCACCUGACUCAGGAGCUGGCAGAGCCUGGGCACUCGUUUCCAAACAUCCUGGACGCAGCAGAACAAGAUGUUGCAGAAUCCAUACGCUCUGCUCUCGGUCUUUAAACCGCAGGUCUGAGCAUCCUUCUUAUUCUUCUCACUCACGUAAACCCAUGUUGAGCAUCUGCUGCAGGUGAGCCACGCAGGUAUUUAUGAUGCAGGGAAAAAACGAUCUGUGCCCUCAACAGGCAUCACCAGAUUCAGAUAACUGCAGGCUGUGGAGAAACAAUAUGGGACUGAAGGCACAGGAUCAGAAGCACACACUUGGGUUGAACACUGGCUUAUUGUAGCAAAGUUAACUUCAACAAGUCUCUUAACUUCUUUGAGCCUCUUUAUAUUCCUCUGAAAUAUAGGACUAUUUACUGGGUGACUGGUGGAAUUAAACGAGAUAAUGGGUAUAAUUUCCCCAGUUCAUAGUUGGAAUCCAAUAUAUGAUAGAUGUCAAUGUUAUUAUAAGCGCUAAGAUUUUAAGUCUUGAAACUUGGGACACAAGAGGAAGAAUGCUCCACACAUGGGAGAAGAACAGUAGUUAGAAGAGGUCUCCUUCCACCUAUUUCUGGUUCCUUUCUCUAAAUUCUUUUGAUGCUUACACCUCUAACAAUGUCAUGAGUGUUAUGGAAAUUCAGCCGGAAUCUCUCUCUUCCUAUUCAGUUGUUAUCUACAUGCUAACUUUACCAGCAUAGGACAGAUUUAUAAUAUAAAGAAGAGAGAAGAAGGUGGAUGAGGAGGCGAAUGAGGAUGAAAGAAGAAAAGAAAAAAAAAAAGGGAAAGAAAAAUAUUGUUAUCUAACCCUGAGUUUAUGCCUGCCAAUUUAUCAAAAAUUUCCUGGCAGAAAUGACCUUUCAGAACACCCUCUAGAAUUAUUCCUCUCCUGUGGGAAAUGGGAUUCAGUAAGCCCAGCAGCAGCUGCAGUACAUAAUAAAAGGAGAAAUUAUCUUAAUGAGCUUAUUUGC